AGACUUCGGCCUUUAUUCUUUGGAGUCUUUGGAGUCUCACACUCUCUUCUCUCUAAGAUGCUAAUAACCGUCAGAUAACAGUGGCUCACAUGUUUGAUCAUGAGUAAUGCAAGGACAAGUUGGCCACUGAUGCAAAUUCUCACUGCCAACCUGACCAGCUCACUUACAUCAUAUGCACAUGGAAAGCCACUUCUGUACCAGCCUGUGGAGACUCACACAAAUGAGGAUGGAGACCACUGUGCCUCUAUUUACUUUGAGGAACUGGCUCGUGGAACUAUCAGGACAGACAGGCUGGAUGCUUUCACACGGAGGUGUCAUAGUUUCUAAUUUUACUCAGCUCUGCCCAGUUCCUCGGUGUGAUCGAUCCACAUGCCUACCUUGGAUAACUGUUCUCUGUUCUUCUCUCCUGCUCCUCCCACCCUUAUAUGUAUGUGGCUUCUGG
rnacentral:lncRNA from 1 species